rnacentral:tRNA from 1 species
GUGGGCAAAGAUAAGUGGGAGAGCGCAUGCUUAGCACGCAUGAGGUCCUGGGUUCAAUCCCCAGUACCUCCA